AGAGUUUGAUCCUGGCUCAGAAUCAACGCUGGCGGCGUGCCUCAGACAUGCAAGUCGAACGCGAAAGUUCCCUUCGGGGAGCGAGUAGAGUGGCGUCCGGGUGAGUAACACGUAGGUAAUCUACCUUUGGGUGGGGAAUAACAACCGGAAACGGUUGCUAAUACCGCAUAAUGCAGCGGCACCACAUGGUGACAGUUGUUAAAGCGGGGGAUCGUAAGACCUCGCGCCUAAAGAGGAGCCUGCGGCGGAUUAGCUAGUUGGUAGGGUAACGGCCUACCAAGGCGACGAUCCGUAGCCGGCCUGAGAGGGCGGUCGGCCACACUGACACUGAAAUACGGGUCAGACUCCUACGGGAGGCAGCAGUCGGGAAUUUUGGGCAAUGGGCGAAAGCCUGACCCAGCAACGCCACGUGAAGGAUGAAAUCCCUCGGGAUGUAAACUUCGCAAGAACGGGAAGAAUAAGUAGGGGACAAUACCCCCUAUGAUGACGGUACCGUUUGUAAGCUCCGGCUAACUCCGUGCCAGCAGCCGCGGUAAUACGGGGGGAGCAAGCGUUGUUCGGAUUUACUGGGCGUAAAGGGCGCGUANGCGGCCUGUGCAAGUCAGUUGUGAAAUCUCCGGGCUUNACUCGGAACGGUCAACUGAUACUGCUCGGCUANAGUGCGGAAGGGGCAACUGGA
rnacentral:rRNA from 1 species